UCCGAUAUGGUGUAGUGGCUAACAUUAUCGCCUCUCAUAAAGUACGCGAUAGCCCGGGGUUCGAUUCCCCGUGUCGGAA